CUCUGAACCAGCCAUGCCGCGUGCAGGAAGACAGCCCUCUGGGUCGUAAACUGCUUUUAUUCGGGAAUAAACCUUAUUACGUGUAAUAAGCUGAAUGUACCGAAGGAAUAAGGAUCGGCUAACUCCGUGCCAGCAGCCGCGGUAAUACGGAGGAUCCAAGCGUUAUCCGGAUUUAUUGGGUUUAAAGGGUGCGUAGGCGGCUUAUUAAGUCAGGGGUGAAAGACGGUGGCUCAACCAUCGCAGUGCCUUUGAUACUGAUGAGCUUGAAUGAACUAGAGGUAGGCGGAAUGUGACAAGUAGCGGUGAAAUGCAUAGAUAUGUCACAGAACACCGAUUGCGAAGGCAGCUUACUAUGGUUUUAUUGACGCUGAGGCACGAAAGCGUGGGGAUCAAACAGGAUUAGAUACCCUGGUAGUCCACGCCCUAAACGAUGAAUACUCGCUGUUAGCGAUAUACAGUUAGCGGCUAAGCGAAAGCGUUAAGUAUUCCACCUGGGGAGUACGCCCGCAAGGGUGAAACUC
rnacentral:rRNA from 1 species